GUGGGUAUAGCUCAGUGGUAGAGCAAAUGCUCAGUAUGCACGGUCCUGGGUUCGAUCCCCAGGACCUCCG
rnacentral:tRNA from 1 species